AUCAACUAAGAGCCAGGCACCCUUUUAAGUCCGUUGAGUAACAUUUUAUAACCUGCUCUCUCUGAAGUCUGCUCUCUGAGACACAGAAACAUUCCAAGCCUGUGCAAUUUGCAUGAGAAGGACAACUAACCUGAAGGGGACUGCAAGGCUUGGGCUGGGACUACUCCCCAGGAGGUUCUCAAAACCCUCAGGUCUCAGGAAUCCAUCUCCAACCACCCACAAUGGGGAGUAUUUUGCUCUCUAACCCUUGUCCCCUCCUCCUCCCUCAUCCUCCCUUCUCUGUCUUCCUCGUGUGGCUCCCAUCCAAAAGGCCCUUUGCCAAUUCCAACGGAACAUCCAACAUCAGACAUUAAUCCAGCCAACUGGUAAGAUCUGCCCUUCCCUGACCUUCUUGCAGUACCCAGGAAAGUCAGGUCUGACAUCCCAGUUCUCGGAGGACCAAUGGGACUAAGCUAGAAGAAAUCUUGGGGACACCCAGUUUCUUCUCAGCUUGAUCAUCCUCUUCAUGAAAAGGAUUCUAGGUCUCUGUCUUUUGUCUGGAAAUGCCUAGAACAAAACAGACACCCUUGGUUUUCUCUUACCAGUCCACAUGAGUGCCAGAGGAGCUGGCAGUCCCAGAUUCCUACUGGCCUGUCUCCUUCACAACCUCACCAAACUUGGCUUAUGGGAAGCAUAAAGCCAAAGUGUUUUUUUUUUUUUUUUUUUAUUGCAACAUGGUCUGGCCCCAACACAAAUUAGAUAAUGACAAGCAAUGGCCCACAAAUGAUGCCUUUGACUUUCAGAUUCUCAGGGACCUUGAUAACUUUAUAACCAGGAAUGGCAAAUGGCGAGAGCUUCUUUAUAUUCAGGCUUUCUUCUACCUUAGAUUCUGACCCUUCCUGUGCCAAGCUUGCACCCCAUCAUGAAAUUCUUCUUAUUAAUGAAAACCCUCCCGGGUCUCUCCUUCCUCCAAAACUCCUUCCUUCUCAACCCCUUCCUCUGAAACCCCUUUUGACCCUACAGGUGAACCCUCUCCAUAUUCUCAUCCCCCUGCAUCCGUUGCUCACCUGGCCAAACCUUCAGCCCUGGUGGCCCCUCCUGCCCCCAAGCAUUCUGCCCUAAACCCUGCUCCUCCUCCUUUUCCACUUGUUAGCCAUUCAAAAACUACUCUAACCAGUCAAAUCACCUCUGCCAUUCUCCCUCUCCAGGAAGUGGCUGGGGUUGAAGGCAUUGCUGGAGUUCUUGUCCCUUUCUCCAUGUCUGACUUGUCACAAAUCAAACAGCAUCUGGAUCUUUCUCUGAAGAUCCAUCUCAUUGUCGUGGGGAAUUCAUACACAUAACCCAGUCCUUUAAUUUAACUUGGCAUGAUAUUCAUAUAAUUCUAGCCUCCACUCUCACCCCUGAUAAAAAGCGCCCAGCUUAAUUAAAAUGGAUAUCCAAACUAUGAGUAUAUUCAAAAGGCCUUUAUGUUUUUCUAUUCAUAAAUCUUGUUUUCCUGGAAAAGAUUUUUCCCCCGUCGAAUUAAAUACUUUUUUUCACUCUUGCGACUCUUGGUGCAUGCAUGAAAGACCCUGAAAUGACUUCCGGUGGCCCUGGACUCCUUGGAAAAACAGAAAAGCACCAUAAAUCCCAUUUUGGGAGAAAUCUCUGUCUUCGUCACGGAACCCCUGGAAUUAGAGGAAACAAUUGGAAAAACUGGUUAUUCUACUAAGGCUUUGACUGGAAUGGUGUGCUCCCCUUUAAGAAAUCUAACUUGACUUAUGAAGCCAAGAAAGCCCUUGGAAACUGGCCUAAUUUUUUGUGUACACAGUCCCCGUACAGGGUUUCUGGUCUGUGGUAAGUAAACAAUAUCACUUUCUGACAGGCCAGGAACCCCAAGUUAUCUUAAAACCUCAAGGGGAGAGGAAUUCACCCAACACAUAGGUAUUUAAUGGUACAGGUCCAUGGCUGGGCUCAGCUCUAAAAGAUCUUAUCUCAGAUUCCUUCUAUGGAACAAAGUUCCAUCAAUGUUAAUUUAAAAGGCCUAUGUAAUACAUAAUUAUUCUUGCUGCACUGUAUGCAAAUACUUAAACCAAGUAUAAGAAAGCAAACCAGUCCUACCAUGAUUUGUCUUUUAAUUAAUGUUUACUAACAGAAAAUAACACAUGGGCCUUUCCAAACAUGCACCUCUGCCUCUCACUAAGUUAAGGAAUGUUGAUUCUAUCUCAACCAAUCGGGCCUAGUAAGAAACACUGUUAAAUAACUUGAGGGAAGGGCCAAAAUCUAUGGGAAUACCAAAACAGUUAAAUAAAUUCUUGGUUUGGGAACAAAAUCAUAGCAUGGGUCAUCCCAUUUGAGGGCCCUCUCCUAAUGAUAUGCCUAGGACUAAUGUUUUUACCCAGCCUAUUUAAUCUUUUUAAAAGAUUUUUAACUGACAGGAUCAUGGCCAUUUCACAGAUAACUACCCAAAAACAUCCACAGACAGCGUUACUCCUUCAGUCAAUCUGAGACCAGAAAACUCUCCAUCCUCCUAUCAGCAGGAAGUAGCCAGAAAGAAAAUGCCACCCCUUGUCCUUUUUGUAACCAUAGGGUCUGGAUUAACAGAGCAGGAGCAUCUCUGUCUUGGACAAGCACCACCAUUUUAAAGUUCCCCUUGAUCAACCAUCUAAUUCCAACCCAAAGGCCAUCAUCCUAAUGCUUAAUGCCAGCAUGCCCAUGUACCACAAAUGACAUCUCCGACCAGAAACAUUCCAACUCUAAGAUAAACCCCUCCCCGACCAGAGACAUGCCAGCCCUGAGAUAACCUCCCCUCUGGCCAGAGAGAUGUCAGUCCCAAGGUAACCACCUCUCUGACCAGAGAUAUUCCAACCCUGCAAUAAACUUCUCCACACAGAAACAUUCCAAGCCUGUGAUAAACUCUCACCCUAAAACCCUUAAGUGCUUUUAGUCUGUAAGAGAGAGUGCUCCUGACUGAAAUUGGCAAAAGCCCCUCUAAAGUUUAUUCUCCAGAAUAAACCUGUCUUUGACUGUUCAGCCACUUUGUGUGUUUCUUUCCUCUUUCUUUAACUCUUACACCCUGGUCACUCAUAUUUGGCUCAGAAUAAAUCUCUGAAAAU